GCACAACCACGUGCAGGAGCAGAAGCAGGAGCAGCAGGCACCUGCACCAGGCACAGGCAAGCUCCUGGUUUUAGGAAUUUUCCUCAGAUAAGCAUGGCUCAGCCCUCCUGUUGCCCAUUCUUGAGCACUCCCAGGGUGUGGAUGGGGGGAACAAGCACGCCUGUACCUCAAUGCCCUUUUUAAACCAGAAACAGGCUUGCAUUUUUCACCCCACUGAUAUGCAAACAUUUCUCUUGAAGAAAAGAAAAGAAAAUGCCUGGGUACCAGCUGGGUAGAAAUCCAAGAAAGAUUAAAAGAAGAAAACCAAUUUUCCUAUUCAUGAUCUCAGCAGUGAAGAGUGACCUCUUCCUCCCCCAGCCCCCUCUUGCUGUGAGUGCGGGUGAGCUGUGCUCUCCACAGAGCCAAGUGCAUUUCUGAAAUGAAGGAAGCAAACAGAAAACAUCCGCUCUCUGUAGAAUAGAGAAAGCUUUCUCUUUUGUUCCCUGCUUUUUAUCAAGUAUCUGCUGCCAUUAUUGUUACUCACUGGGUUAUUACCUCCGAGUGGCUACUUCCACCAGCACAAGCUGGUUUAUUGUCUGCUCAGAGCAAUUAUGGAUGGGGAUAAUUCCUGCCAUGCUGCUUCAUUGUGGAAGGAUCCGCUGUGUUCUGUGGCCAAGGUAACUUGAGGUGAUUUGUGCUGCAGAGUUACCCAUCAAGUUAAUUAGGAGUGGGUGGCGGGUGCCUCACUGAGUGCUGGGACAGAAGGAGCAGCAGAGGCUCAACCCAAGUAUCUUCUCAGUAUUCAAAAGAAAGUUUGUUCAGUGGAGCACACACCAGGUUAGGUUUGUUUUUUUCUUAGGACUAAUUCAUCUUUAUUUGCAGGUUGACAAAAUGUUGGCCAAUGCAUCCUCCCUCCAAGGGUGUGGGAGAUCAUUGCUUUGUGUGUGCAGAGCACAGGAGUGUCCCUGCAGGAGGACUUGGUGGAAGACACUUGCUGUCUGGCUCAUUGCUCAUCUGCAAGGAAUCCCAACAAACUUGCUACUGGCAAGAACAUUUAUUGGUGAGGCACUGCCAAAUCCCCCAAGCUGUCCAUGCACAAAGGGGUCAGGUCAUCCCUCGUGCAGCCCCCACAGCUGCAGCAGGGCUUGGCACAAGAUUUCUGCUGAAGAUGUGAGGGUUUGGUCCUGCAGGAGCAGCUGCAAGAGUUUUGCAAUGUAGAUACUCAGGUGCCUUAGUGGGUCAUGAGAUUCCAGGAUGACCUGGGAGACACAUGGAAGCCAACAUGCACCUGCCAGCUGAGGAUGGGCUCCCUCUGCUUUGAGGCAGUAACAUCUCAGGUCCAGACCUGCACCCAACAGUGGCAUCUCGGCAGUGAACUUGAGAUCUCCAGCAGAUGGAAGAUAGUGGAAGUCUCCAGACACUUUUUCUACAUAAGGUUGUUGUCUUACAUCUCUUUGCCCUCAUAUUUUUGGCUCCUGGCCUGCCCACUCAGCUUCUUUGCCUUGUCCCCAGCUCCUGAAGCAGCCCCAGGGCUGGGCACGCUGCCUGCAGGUACCCCCUGAGUGCCCAUCUGUAUUCAUGGAAAUAAUUCCAUCAGGAUCUGAUGGCAUUUGUAAAUAUUUGCAUUUUGUAAGGAAAUACCCUGUUUAAACAUAGGUUGAUAUUAAUUCCAUCUUCCUUGCAUUCCCCCACAUCCUUGAGCUCCGUUUACCAGCCCUGGCCCCUGAGACAGCUCUGCUGAAAGCAAAUAUGUCAGUCUGCACUGCACAGGGAAUAUUUUAAGGCUCUGAAAACAAAGUUUCUUAUAGCAAAGCUGCCAAAAGUGUAACCACUGCCAUGCUAAAAUAUCCUCUGCCUCCUACAUUUGUAACGUGGGAGUCUUUUAUAUCCUCUUUACUGUUGCUGAACCAUGCAUUUGUAUUGGCAGCAGAUGUAUAUAGACUGGGACCUAUUUCAGUGUCAUGCAAAAGAGCUCUUAGGUUAAAAGAUAGAUUACAGCUUACUGGAAAGCUUGAAAUUAACUGUGUGAUGAUGCCACACGAAGAUAAAGAACCAGCAAUUUUAUUGAAUUAGGAUUUUAUCCAUAUGGGCUGAAGGCUUGAACUGUAUUAACAUCUCCAGAGGUCUCCAGUUGCCAAAUUAACUAUUGAGGUUUUGGGCAACUAGUUGGAGACAGGAAAAAAAGACCUGAUUUAACUGUUUCCAGACAGUAAAAGGACUGUCUAG
ensembl:lncRNA